rnacentral:lncRNA from 1 species
UAGGGUUUUCUAGCAAAAUGGGCCUAGUAAAUUGUCUAAUGGGCCUUGAGAGAAGGUUAAAUCCACCCCCAACAGUAAGUCCCCCCAAGUUCGUUGAGAGAGAUGGAAUCGAUCUCUGCGAAGUUUACGAAUAGGGUUUAUUAGACAAUGAACUAGACACAUUCAUGCCUAUGACGGUUUAGGCGAGUUUAUUUCGAACUUGUGCCUAGUAAGAAGCGAGUUUGCUUUAAACUCGUGCUUAGCGAAAGACGAGUUUACUUGACUAAUGCUAAGACAUAGGCGAGUUUACUGAGAGCUCGUGCCUAGUGGAAGGAGAGCUUCUGUAAACUCAUGCCUAGCCAAAGACGAGUUUUUGUAAACUCGUGUCUAACAAUAAGCGAGUCGACCGCAAACUCGUGCCUAAUAAAAAAAGCAAGUUCAAUUUAAACUCGUGCCUAAAAUGCAUGUUUACCGAACUAUUGCCGACCCGAAGUCUCGUGUUGAGAUCGUGUGUGUCGAACAAGUUGUUGGCGUGUAUGCUUGUCAGGCUAUGAUAAUGUUGAGAAAGCGUGCUGGUUUGUGAUCAGUGACGAUGAAGUCACCAAGAGCUGUGAGGACUAUGAUCAAGUCGUCGUCAUUUGCAAAGAGGGUCUCAUAUUCUUCAUCUUCUCCGCUCUGUUUGUGUAAGGGGAGAGUGCUUGUCUCGUGUUCUAUGUGCGAUGACGAUCUGAAGUUGUUCGCGUUGAGACUGUUUAGAAGAUAAGUCACGACCUCUUGUGUUGGUUCCACAUACAAGAACCACUUCAUCUAACUAUACAGAGAAAAUUAAACUCAAUUAAUUUGACUUUGUAUUGUAAAUUGGGUAUCUUGAGACGUAAGCAAGCAUAUCAAUUAUUAAUAUGGGAGACCAUGUUUAAUAUAUAUUAAGGGAAGGUCUUUGUUCUGCCACCAAAUAUGAAGCGGUGAUAUCUGGCAAAUAAUUAACUAAUCAGAUUAGAGGACUUAUCUUGAAAACAUAUGUUUCGAAAAGUCUUGAUCUCCUCGUCACACCAUUGCCGAGAAGGACAUUAGCUUAUAUGUUCUUCAUUGGGGUCGGCUGUUUGACGAAGAGAUGGCGAAACAGUUAACUACUCUGCGAAGAGGAUGAUGAUGACAAGCGACGAACUCGGUGAAUUGCUUAGUUAAACAAUCUGUUAUCAUGAGCUUCCUCUCUC